rnacentral:rRNA from 1 species
AAUUUUGGACAAUGGUGGCAACCCUGAUCCAGCCAUCCCGAGUGUUCGAUGAAGGCCUUCGGGUAGUAAAGCACUUUUGGCAGGGAAGAAAAGGCACCGGCUAAUACCUGGAGCAGUUGACAGUACCUGCAGAAUAAGCACUGGCUAACGACGUGCCAGCAGCUGCGGUAAUACGUAGGGUGCAAGCGUUAAUCGGAAUUACUGGGCGUAAAGCGUGCGCAGGCGGUUCGGCAAGAAGGAUGUGAAAUCCCAGGGCUUAACCUUGGAACUGCAUUCUUAACUGCCGGGCUAGAGUAUGUCAGAAGGGGGUAGAAUUCCGCGUGUAGCAGUGAAAUACGUAGAGAUACGGAGGAAUACCGAUGGCGAAGGCAGCCCCCUGGGAUAAUACUGACGCUCAUGCACGAAAGCGUGGGGAGCAAACA